rnacentral:rRNA from 1 species
UGGUGGAGUGAUCUGUCUGGUUAAUUCCGUUAACGAACGAGACCUUAGCCUGCUAAAUAGCUACCGCUUAGCUCUGCUAAGUCGGCUAGCUUCUUAGAGGGACUUUGCGUGUUUAACGCAAGGAAGUUUGAGGCAAUAACA